rnacentral:tRNA from 2 species
GGGCCUGUAGCUCAGUUGGCAGAGCAGGGGACUUUUAAUCCCAAGGUCGAGGGUUCGAUUCCCUCCGGGCCCACCA